rnacentral:lncRNA from 1 species
UUAUCGCCAUAAAUACGGCGCCAGGUACGCCCCCGUCACGCCCACUUUCUUUUCGGAAACUGCGCGCACGAUCGGCCGCAGAGACAUCCUCUUCUCCUCGAUUCGCGGGUCGGCGCCCUCCAUAACUCCGCCUCCCGGAAGACACGCACACGACGUCCCCCACGUUUGGCCCAAGACGCAAUAGCCGUCCCGAUUCAGCCCAAGGCCCACCGAAAGGUAAUAAGGGAUACGGGGCUGGAAACGCCCCUACCACCCAUUACGAUCCAGAGGUUCAAAGGCUAGCCCGCUACGGGUUCGACAGCCGCCUCAAGAUAUCCCCCGAGCGAGGGGUGAGAAGGGACGGGUCCGCUAGCGGCCACCACCCAGGCGAGCGAAAGCCAAGGGCGUCCCGACCUCACGUUCGAGUCCAGACCGGCAUCAAAGUUCAU